rnacentral:tRNA from 1 species
GCCCCAGUGGCGCAAUGGAUAGCGCUUUGGUCUUUUAAUCCGGGGGUUGAGGGUUCGAGUCGCUCCUGGGGUU